GAUGAACGCUGACAGAAUGCUUAACACAUGCAAGUCGAUGGGGAAGUGGUGCUUGCACCCUGGCAACCAUGGCGGACGGGUGAGUAACGCGUAAGGGACUUACCUGCAGGACUGGGAUAACAGGGGGAAACUCCUGACAAGACCGGAUAAUGUCAUGGAGCUGCAUGGCUUUAUGAUGAAAGGAGACGCCUGCGGAGAGCCUUGCGUCCUAUUAGCUAGUUGGUGAGGUAAUGGCUCACCAAGGCGAAGAUAGGUAGCCGGCCUGAGGGGGUGGACGGCCACAAGGGGACUGAGAUACGGCCCUUACUCCUACGGGAGGCAGCAGUGGGGAAUAUUGGACAAUGGGGGCAACCCUGAUCCAGCAAUUCUGUGUGCACGAAGAAGGUUUUCGGAUUGUAAAGUGCUUUCAGCAGGGAAGAAGUAAGUGACGGUACCUGCAGAAGAAGCGACGGCUAAAUACGUG
rnacentral:rRNA from 1 species